UACAGAGGUCCCGAGCGUUUGUUCGGAUUCACUGGGCGUAAAGGGUGCGUAGGUGGCGAGGUAAGUCGGAUGUGAAAGCUCGGAGCUCAACUCCGAAAUGGCAUUGGAAACUACCUUGCUCGAGGGUUGGAGGGGGGACUGGAAUUCUCGGUGUAGCAGUGAAAUGCGUAGAUAUCGAGAGGAACACCAGUGGCGAAGGCGAGUCCCUGGACAACUCCUGACACUGAGGCACGAAAGCUAGGGGAGCAAACAGG
rnacentral:rRNA from 1 species